rnacentral:lncRNA from 1 species
UCUAAGAAUGCCCACACGUGGAUCUAACAAUUAGAUUACCUAUUCAAUCAGUAACAGUGAUCUUACGUUAAUAACAAUCAUUAUUAAUGUUGAUACGAUAGUUACUAUCGAUUUCUAUUAACACUUACCCUUAGAAAUAAUCACUCAGAUUAGUGAUUUUGAUUCCCACGUUAAUGGUCUCUCGAGUUGGUGUCAAUCGGCCCUUCAAUAAACAUGACAUACGAGAUGGUAAUACUUGAUAAAUAAUUCACUAUGACCUUAAAAAUAUUUGGUCAAGAGAAAAGUAGGGAGAUUUCUACUCAACCCUUACACUUACACUAACUUGGUUGAAACGAGAGGAUCGAAGAAUCGUCUUGAACACGAAUUAGAGAGGAACGGAGGAUCUAAAUAGCAGGACUAUUUUUGAAAAUAGGUCAAUGAAAAAGUUUACGAUUAAGAACUAAUUAAAAAUAAAUAAUGCAGAAUUUUUUUAUGAUUAAAAAGAAUAACAAAGGUUGAAAAUUGAAGAAGAAAAGAGGAAGAAUCUCAACCGUCGGAAGUGGUGCUACGAUGACGACGGUUCGACAACAUAGGUGGCGGCUCGGUGGAGGAGAAGAAAAGAAUAUUGGUUCAGUCACUCACUUAAAGAAGGAGAAAGGAGAAGAGAGAAAAAUAAUAAAAAGAGAGGAUUUGCGCGAUGGUUGUCAUGGUGAUGGAGGGUGGCGCUAAGGGCAGCGGUGGAACAAAAAGAAGAAGAGAGGAAGAUCAUGGGUGAUGAAGUGGUGGUGUUUAGGUCAAAUGGUGGAGGCUAACGGUGGAGGAAAGGAGACCAAAAUCAAAAUAAUGGUGGUUCAAGGUGGUGCAAAAGGGGAGGAAGAGAGAAAAGUGAGGAGCAAAGGUG